UACGGGGGGGGCAAGCGUUGUUCGGAAUUACUGGGCGUAAAGGGUGCGUAGGCGGUUCGCUAAGUUGGAUGUGAAAACUAUGGGCUCAACCCAUAGCCUGCAUCCAAUACUGACGAACUAGAGUUCUGGAGGGGGUAGCGGAAUUCCUGGUGUAGCGGUGAAAUGCGCAGAUAUCAGGAAGAACACCUAUGGCGAAGGCAGCUCUCUGGGACGGUACUGACGCUGAGACGCGAAAGCGUGGGGAGCGAACAGG
rnacentral:rRNA from 1 species